AUAAUUAAAUAUAGAACGCAAAAUAAUGUGCAUGAAAGUAAACUGUAGUCUUAAAUAUUAAGAUACACAGGUAUGUACAAUAUGCAUAUGUGAAUUAUACUGUAGUCUCAAAUAUUAAGAUACACAGGAAUGUACAAGAGGCAAAUGUGCUACUGUCAGUAUGUCAAUGUGAGGUAGAGAAUGAUGAAUAUCUCUCCUUCACAGAGGGGAAAGCAGACCCGGAGAUGCGCUCAACUAAGUUUACAACUCUCUGCAGGGCUUUGCAGUCUUGACUGGAGCUGUUCCCAUACCACACUGAGAUACACGGAGUCAAUACACUUUCUAUGGCCCCUGAAUAGAAAGUUUUCAGGAUUGCUGGUGAGACCCUGAAUUUCCUCAGCUGUCGCAGAUGGUACAGUCGUUGCCUGGCUUUAUUUACCUGUGUUUGAAUGUGAGUAGUCCAAGUCAGGUCCUCGGAGAUGUUUACACCAAGGUACUUGAAGCUGCUCACCCUCUCCACAGGGGUCCCGCUGAUCAUAAGAGGAGUAUAGGGCUGCUGCUGUCUCUUCCUGAAGUCCACAAUCAGUUCUUUAGUUUUGCUCACAUUCAGAGAGAGACAGUUGUCCUGGCACCAUGAUGUUAAUUUCUCUACCUCAUCCAAGUAUGCGGUCUCAUUGUUGUUGUGAAUGAGGCCCAGAACCACAGUAUCAUCAGCAAAUUUGAUUAUAGAUGUGGAGCUGUGCGAAGACACGCAGUCAUGUUCUUCUCAGAGUGAAGAAUUCAGGCCGGGGUCUAUGAGUUUAGAAGCUAGCUUUAAGGGGACUAUAGUAUUAAAAUCUGAGCUAUAGUCACUAAAUAGCAGCCUUACGUAGUUUCUGUUAUUGCUGUCAAUGUGUGUGAGAGAAGAGUGCAGGAUGUGAGAGAUGGCAUCAUCAGUGGAUCUGUUUGGGCGAUAGGCAAACUGAAGAGGGUCCAAAGUAUCUGGUAUGGAGGAGCAGAUGACGUUUUUAACCAGUCCCUCAAAGACCUUCAUGACUAUUGAUGUGAGGGCAACUGGACGAUAGUUAUCCAGACAAGAGGGUUUAUUAUUCUUAGGCACAGAGAUGAUGACAGAGUUUUUGAAUGAGGUGGAAACCACCGAUGUAGCAAGAGACUCAUUAAAAAUGGAUGUAAACAAACCAGCGAGCUGAUCAGUGCAGGACCGCAGAACACGGCCAGAAAUCCCAUCAGGUCCAGCUGCUUUCCUUACAUUCACUCGCUUUAGAGCCCUCCGAACCUCAUCCUGCGACACGGUGAUCACAUGAUGAUCGCUGCUCUGACUGCAGAGGAUUUAUGUCCAAAGGCACAGAUAGUCCUUAGUCCUUGCCACAUGCGUCGGGAGUCAUUUAGCUGGAAAUGUGACUCUAUGCAUUCCCUGUAUCUGUGUUUGGCGGUGCUUUGUACUCGCUCAUGUUUCCUGACAGAAGACUGCCGUUGUAAGCAGCAGUGCAUUUGUUUACUGCUGCACGGAUUGAUCUGUCCACCCACGGUCUCUGAUUUGAGAAUGUCCUUAUAGUUAUUGUAUCCGUAGCUUGUUCGGCUAGCGUGUUUACAAAGAUUAAUGCUACAUCCUUGAACUCGCUGACGUCAGAUAAACUUGCGUGAAACAUUUCCCAGUCUGCGUCAUCAAGAGCAGCCUGUAGAGUUGCUUCUGAUUGGGGGACCAUCGCGUCACCACCCUCUGCACCGGGGGAUCUUGAACGAGCCUUUGUUUAUAAUCCGGUUUGAGGAAAAUGGCGGCAUGGUCUGAUUUGCCGAAAGGCGGUAGUGAGCGAGCUUUGUAGGCAUUUUUAAACUGUGUGUAGCAAUGAUCCAGUGUAUUCGGUCCUCUGGUUGGACAGGAUAUACAUGUUGAUAAAAAAUUAAGCAUAACUUGCCUGAGUUUUGCUUUAUUAAAGUCCCCAGCGAUGAUAAUAGCAGCGUCAGGAUGUUUGUUGAUGUAACCGCUGAGUAGGGAUGUGCAUCUCCAUAACUGAGGCCGAUGCGAUACGCAUCUCGAUGCAUAGCCAACGAUACGAUACAUUAAAGAUACAUGAAGCAGCUAGCGAUGCGAUACGAUACGAUACACCUCUGUUACAAUGCAGUGCGAUCCGAUUUCGAUUCGAUUCAACACGAUUCGAUGCGGUAUGAUGCAAUGAAACAAAUCAUGAUAUGCAUUUCAUUAUGUUACAGACAUUAUGUUUUAUUUCUUUGUUUCAGACAACAAAUCAUAAAUUAACUUAAGUGCCUUCUGAUUUGUAGUGCAUGACCCUUAUACAAAUAGGCUUUGGUAGUGCAAAAAAAUAUUAAAUAAAACCAAAUUUUUUUUCCUGUUUUGUCCCUACUUAAACUUUUAAAAGCUCAAACAUUUAACAGUGAAACAAUUUAAGGAUGCUGCUCAGAGGUAAACUGAAGAAAAGUUCCAUAACAUGCUAGCAGAUGAAUGUGCUUUCAGCAGACAGGCUUACUCAGUGAACAGAAAACAGGUGCUAUUUUGACAUAACCAAUAAUAAUAUGAAGUACCAAAAAAAAAAAAUUUGUCAGUUAUUUCAUAACUGUAUUCAAAUGUAAAAAAAAAAAUAAUGAAAAUAAAAUAAACUAGUAUAGGCAGUCACAGGCUGCUGUAAACCAGACUCAUCAGAUUAAAUUUAACUUAAAUAUGCUCUUUUAAGGUUUUUCUUAAGAAAUAUCAGUUGAUCCGAGCAGAACUGUUAGGCAACUUCGAUUGAAAAAAAGUUUUGAUCGUUUGCUCACCCGGCGUCCCGCUAGCAGUGGCAGGUUCGGCUAAAUCCGAGUGAGAGGAGGAGGAGGAGGAGGAGGCGGCCGGCGUCUCCAAACUCACACCGUGUCGGCGCUUCAGGUGUGUUGUCAGAUUUGUCGUGCUGUAUAUUUUAUAGCGGCACGACAUAUUUUACAAAUUGCAUGGGUUUUAUCAAGAUUUCCAGCUUUCUUAUAAAAGCCAAAGUGUUUCCACACACUGGAUUUGUAACUACUUGGUGGAGGAUGCAACUGCUCUACCUCUGCCAUGUUAAUCUAUGUGACUUUCUUGACACGCCCCGGUCUCUGUAGUGUUGUGAAAGGCUUACGUCAUCACGCAACAGUGAAGAGAGACGUGCUUGAAAAACAGUUUAGAAGGGUGAAAACAAUCUAAAAAUAUUAUUCCUUUUCUAAAUAAUGAAAGUAUAGUUAUCUACUAAUAAUUAUAAAGAAAUAAAUCUGGGUUUACCGAUGCAGAUAUGUUAGAAACGAUGCAUCGCGAUACAAAAGCCAAUUUGAAUCCGAUGCACACUUUUUAAACCGAUGCAUCGCAUCUUUAACUUUUUAAGCCGAUGCACCGAGCGAAUCGGGGAAUCUUCCCAUCCCUACCGCUGAGCGCAUCGUGAAGCUCAGACAAAGCCAAACCAGUGUCUGCUUGUGGUGGGAUGUAAACAGCAGUUAUGAUGAUCGAUGAAAACUCCCGUGGCAGAUAGCAUUGGCGGCAAAUAAUGGAUAAAUGUUCCAGAUGAGGCGAGAAGGAGCGCGACAGUGUGGAGAUAUUCCUGGGGUUACACCAUUUCUUGUUAAUCAUGAAGCACACUCCUCCGCCUUUGGAUUUGCCGGCCUCGGCUGUUCUGUCCAUCCGUAAAACAGAAGUUUUCAGACGGCCUUACAGCAGCGUCCGGGACCAAGGGCGUCAGCCAUGUUUCAGACAAACAAAGGAUGUUACAGUCCCUAAUGUCUGGUUAGAAACUUAUCCUGGCUCUAAGAUCGUCCAUCUUAUUCUCCAGAGACUGGACAUUGGCGAGCAGAAUGCUUGGUAGAGGAGGACUGUGUGCUCUUUUCCUCAGUCUGUUGCGAAUCCCAGCACGUUUCCCGCAAUGUUUCUUGAUCCAUCGCCUCGGGUGGUUAUUCAGGUGGCCAUUGUUCAUCUCGGCGUUCCGGAGAAUCUCAGACUGCCACGAUGGGUUGGAGGAUAAAGUGUCCUGAAACAGGUCAGUGAAGCGGUGUCUAAUGUCCAAAAGUGUUUCUUUGCUGUAUAUGAUCAGUGCAGAGGUAAUGUGUGUAAAAAGAGAAAGCAAAAGUAGGUAAAAAAUUUUUUAAAUAAAAACAUAAUCUAAGCGGAGCGACCUGGACGGCGACCGGACUCAGCGGCGCCAUCUUGAUAAAAAAAGAUUAAAGAAACAUCUCUUUGGCCAAGCAUUCAAAUAAUGCAUCUCAUAAUCUUAUACUGCAGUUGUAUCUGAUCAAAUACGCAUUAUUAUUCUUUAGCUUGGGUUAAACUAAUUAAUUUUACUUUGUUGGAACAGCAGCUAUGCUAAUUAUGUCUCUAUUUGAUCUUUGUUUUUACAACUAGGAUUUAAACAAGCUUCAGUCUGGAUCCAGAACAUCUGAGAAGAGAUGAUGUCAACCCUUCAGAAGACCUCAGAUGAUGCCAACCUUGAAACAACAGAAGUCCGUUUUCUCUGGAUGCACCGCAGACACCCGAAAGGCCUUUUACAGACAGAUCACUGAAGCGCCCAGAGACAAAAACUUCUGCAAACUCAUUCACAUUAUUUGCUGAAGUAAGAAAGAGGAAAGUUCUCACUACGGUGCUUCUGCGACCCGACCAGGACGACCGCUUCCACCGCAGGCGUCUGUUGGAAGCAGUAGGUUUGGCUCCAGGCUGUUAUUUGUCAAACACAGUGAGGAUGAGGACUAACUGUGUUCCUCUGUGGACCUGAAGCUUGUCCGGCUCCCGGCGGCCCACAGACAGCAGAGCGCGGUGAUGGACUGCAGUCUGCUGGAAAAUACAGUUUCCUCUAAAUUAGGUGCUGAGUGAAGCGCUGCGGUGCCUUUGUGCAAGCGCUGGAAAAGGCCGGGGUGACAGUGGUCAACCAAAAAUACAAUAACCAGCACCAGAAAUACAUUUUUAUGCCAUUUUGCACUGCUCUGCACGAUUCUAAUGAGACGUUCAUGCAUUCUUCUGACAUGUCUGAAUGAUGCGCAACACCUGGAAUAUAGCGCACUUGCAGAAAGACCUACUUUUGUGAUAGUUUCAUGCGGAUUUGAUCUUUUUUGAGCCUGAUGAUACAAAUCAGCAUCCACUGUCAAUUUAAGGAAAGAAACUGCUCAGACAUUCUGUAAAAAAUAAUUCAUAACAUGAUUACCAUUUUAGUAGCAUGUUGCUAGCAUGUUGCUAGCAUGAUUCUAGCACGAUUAGCAUGUUACAAAAAAAAAAAAAACCUGAAUACCGCAAAUAAACUUUUUUUUUUUUGAGGUAACGGUUUACAAUAAGGUCUCAUUUGUUAAUCGUUUAUAUAAACUAAUGAUGAGCGUCACAUUUUUUUUUUUAGAAAUUAUUAACCUUUCUUAACGUUAAUCAAAUAUUUGUGUUUAAAAAUGUUAAAAAGCUAUUUUUUUUUGUUUACCGUAUGUUCUGGACUAUAAGUCGCACUAUUUUUCAUAGUUUGGCUGGUCCUGUGACUUAUAGUCAGGUGCGACUUAUUUAUCAAAAUUUAUUUGACAUGAACCGAGAGAAAUGAACUAAGAGAAAACAUUACCGUCUCCAGCCGCCAGAGGGCGCUCUAUGCUGCUCAGUUCUCCUGUAGUCUACACUGUAAUGUUUUCUCUUGGUUCUAAAUAAAUGCGACUUAUAGUCCAGUGCAACUUAUAUAUUUUUUUAUUUUUUUUCUCAUCAUGAAGUAUUUAUGGGCUGAUACUCAGGUGCGACUUAUAGUCCGAAAAAUACAGUAUUUUGAUUGAUGACGUUAACAUGUUGAGAUUAAAAUAAACUAAGAUUAGUAAAUGCAUUAGAAGUAGUUUUCAUUGCAAGUUCAUAACUAAUGUAGGUAACUCAAAUUUACAAAUGGAACAGUAUUGUAGAGUAAUACUAAAUCAGACUUCAAUUUUAUUCUGUUUUCGGUUUAAUUUUAAUAUAUGUGUGUGUGUGUGUGUGUUUCUUUUUGCAAGAACAAUUUACAAUUAUAAACUGUAAACUGACAUUUCCAGAAUCCCUUUGAUGAUAUUUAAUUUCUAUAAUUGCUUUUCUUCUUAAUAGUUAUUUUCUCUUUACCUCCCAUGUUAUUAAUGGUGUUGUUAGCAAAUGUUAAAGACACAAAUCAUGUUUGUAGCAGCAGAGUGUAAGUAAAUAAUCCAGAUUUUCAUUUCAACACUUAAAGAUCAUGGAAGCAUCUGAAAGAAGAGUGACCGAUCGAUGCUAUUUUCCUCAUGUUCCUCAAGUUUCCUCAUGUGAGUGUUCACCAGUGCGAAUCAGAGUUCAUCCAUCUCCAUCUUCAGACUGAAGGAUCUACUUGAAGAAAGAUGAUCUUUAAGGAUUGAGAGCUAUGAAAGCGCUCAAGAAGAACCGAGCCAAACGCUUCCAUUAAGUUCCUGAUGUUUAAUAUCAUCUUCUGGGGUCCUCCCAUAAUUUUAUCCACUCUGUUUUUAUUAUGCUAUAUAUUAUGUCUUAAUAAAAUGUCAAAGAAUAGUUUGUGCCAUUUCUCCUAC